rnacentral:rRNA from 1 species
CUAAUACAUGCAAGUCGAACGAACUUCCGUUAAUUGAUUAUGACGUACUUGUACUGAUUGAGAUUUUAACACGAAGUGAGUGGCGAACGGGUGAGUAACACGUGGGUAACCUGCCCAGAAGUAGGGGAUAACACCUGGAAACAGAUGCUAAUACCGUAUAACAGAGAAAACCGCAUGGUUUUCUUUUAAAAGAUGGCUCUGCUAUCACUUCUGGAUGGACCCGCGGCGUAUUAGCUAGUUGGUGAGGUAAAGGCUCACCAAGGCAGUGAUACGUAGCCGACCUGAGAGGGUAAUCGGCCACAUUGGGACUGAGACACGGCCCAGACUCCUACGGGAGGCAGCAGUAGGGAAUCUUCCACAAUGGACGCAAGUCUGAUGGAGCAACGCCGCGUGAGUGAAGAAGGGUUUCGGCUCGUAAAGCUCUGUUGUUAAAGAAGAACGUGGGUAAGAGUAACUGUUUACCCAGUGACGGUAUUUAACCAGAAAGCCACGGCUAACUACGUGCCAGCAGCCGCGGUAAUACGUAGGUGGCAAGCGUUAUCCGGAUUUAUUGGGCGUAAAGCGAGCGCAGGCGGUCUUUUAAGUCUAAUGUGAAAGCCUUCGGCUCAACCGAAGAAGUGCAUUGGAAACUGGGAGACUUGAGUGC